AGUGGAAAAAGUAUGUGGAUCUCUAGGAUUAGCAGUUCAUUUGAAGGUGAAGUUAGAGUCUUUCUGUUCAGAGGUGUUUUCAGUCAGUGGGAUGACUAUCAGGUGUC